AGCCGAAACGCUCCGGCUGGAGCGUCCACCGUGGAACGGUCGCCCGGUGCUGACGAUGGAAGACCAGA
rnacentral:hammerhead_ribozyme from 2 species